rnacentral:rRNA from 1 species
ACGUACGCUCCUACGGGAGGCAGCAGUGGGGAAUAUUGGACAAUGGGCGCAAGCCUGAUCCAGCCAUGCCGCGUGAGUGAUGAAGGCCCUAGGGUUGUAAAGCUCUUUCACCGGUGAAGAUAAUGACGGUAACCGGAGAAGAAGCCCCGGCUAACUUCGUGCCAGCAGCCGCGGUAAUACGAAGGGGGCUAGCGUUGUUCGGAUUUACUGGGCGUAAAGCGCACGUAGGCGGACUAUUAAGUCAGGGGUGAAAUCCCGGGGCUCAACCCCGGAACUGCCUUUGAUACUGGUAGUCUUGAGUUCGAGAGAGGUGAGUGGAAUUCCGAGUGUAGAGGUGAAAUUCGUAGAUAUUCGGAGGAACACCAGUGGCGAAGGCGGCUCACUGGCUCGAUACUGACGCUGAGGUGCGAAAGCGUGGGGAGCAAACAGGAUUAGAAACCCCAGUAGUCCCAUGA